GCAGAUUAGUGAGGAUGAAAAAAAAGAAUAUAAAAGAUGAGAGAUUAAAGAAGAAGAUGUGCGAUAAAAACAAAAUUGAAAAAAAUAACAAUAGCAUAAAAAUGAGAAGAUUAAAAAGAAAAAAUAUAAAAAAAUGGAGAUUAGAAAAGAAGGAACGAGAUGUACAUGACAAAGAACGUACGAUACUAGUAUGAGAGAUUUGAGAUGUCUGAACUGAAACCCUAAGUGUUAGAAAGAGAAAAUUAUCCGCAAUCGUAAUGUUAAUGCGUAAUAAG
rnacentral:lncRNA from 1 species